GACGAACGCUGGCGGCGUGCUUAACACAUGCAAGUCGAACGGAAAGGCCCUGCUUUUGUGGGGUGCUCGAGUGGCGAACGGGUGAGUAACACGUGAGUAACCUGCCCUUGACUUUGGGAUAACUUCAGGAAACUGGGGCUAAUACCGGAUAGGAGCUCCUGCUGCAUGGUGGGGGUUGGAAAGUUUCGGCGGUUGGGGAUGGACUCGCGGCUUAUCAGCUUGUUGGUGGGGUAGUGGCUUACCAAGGCUUCGACGGGUAGCCGGCCUGAGAGGGUGACCGGCCACAUUGGGACUGAGAUACGGCACAGACUCCUACGGGAGGCAGCAGUGGGGAAUAUUGCACAAUGGGCGGAAGCCUGAUGCAGCAACGCCGCGUGCGGGAUGACGGCCUUCGGGUUGUAAACCGCUUUCGCCUGUGACGAAGCGUGAGUGACGGUAAUGGGUAAAGAAGCACCGGCUAACUACGUG
rnacentral:rRNA from 1 species